CUCUCUCUCUCUCUCUCAUCGUAGUUUCAGCGCAUCACUGCUACUGACUACUGCAUAUAUUUUUUUAAUGACAAGCAUGUAUUUAUGUAGGUUCUCCAUGAGAACUAGUGCCAUUGAAAUUACACUGUCUGUGAUGAAAUAAAAUGCAAUCUACACUUUAACUGACUUGCAAACAAGCCAGGUAGGGAGAGAGCUCGCUAAAACUUAUUUUUCUUGGGGGUAAUUUUUUUUUGCCCCAGCCUACCAAGAUUAUUCAUCUAAGAAGGAAUUUGGGAAUUAAUCGGGAAAAUCUGUUUGAUUAGAAAGUAAUUCUUCAUUUUGAGCGAUUUUUUUCCAAUGCUCUUAAGACCAUGCAGCGUCUUAGCCAAGACGAGAGGGAGAAAACCGGUUUAGGAUUUUGCAGUUACCUCAUCUAAUCCUUCUGAAUUCACCCUGGGAAUAAUGCUGUUUUAUUUAGGCGGGGCAUGGGGGGGGGGAGAAAAAGAAAAUACAUUUAGAAAAAUCAGGGGUUUCCUCUCUCUGAGCCAAAUCUGGGUUGCCAGUCAAAGUUUUCCUGGCCGCCUUUCCAUGCGGGACAGCUGAUCAAUAAAAGCCAAGUCCAGCCUGGCUUGCUACAGGUUUCGCCAGUCAGUGCUUGCAAAACCUUUGUCAUUUUCUAAAAAUAAAAAAGCUAAAAGUUAUUGUAGAAGAAGGGGCUUUUUUUUUGUCCCCUGCACAAUGUGUCUUUUGUGAGGUUAAUACCAUUCUGGGCUCUCGAUAGCCCUGGACAAUGGGGACUCUCCAGGAGCGUGUGAAGACCCUGGCUUUUUUCUUUCUGGCCUUUCUCCCCCCCCUCUUUUUUUAGGGGAAGGAUGAAACAUUCCUACAGUCCAAAUACAACCUCUGCUUUGAUUAAAUAAAUAUUUAUCUUUAUUGUAGCCAUUGUAUAUUUUUACCUUCAGUUUGUCUGGUUUCUGAUUAUUAUUUUAAAAUUUUCAUUGGCAACAGUUAAUCUCUUUUUUUUUCUUUCAGUUCAAAAUACAGGUCAGUGUAAAAUGUAGCUGACUGAGGGAAGGCUGGUAAAUUCUGAAUUUUUCCAUAAUACAUCAGUCCUACGUUUUCAUCAUAGCUGCUGGCCACCAGUGCCCUUCCUUCCCCACGGCCGGGCUGUGCACCCCAGCGGUUCCUGGCCUUGUGUGGAAGCAGCACAGGCAGCUGGACCCCGGAUCCUUUUGCCAGUCCUUGAUCAGUAGAGGUGCAAAGAGGCUUCUUAGCAGCCUUCCAGCCAGGAACUCCAGGAGCUGGAAGACCUUGAUGGCAUAGAAGAGAGGCCUGUAGUGGUCAGUGCAGGUGCCUCGUGCCUGUUCAAAGGGCUAUUUAGAAGAGGAACUGUGUGGCAGGGCUGUGGGGUCUGGCCGCUCUGCGGAGCCUUCUUGUUGCACGUGGGCGCAGUGCCAAAGCAUGCAGUGUGAAGGAAACGUUUAAUAAAGACGUGAGAACCUC